rnacentral:rRNA from 1 species
UACGUAUGGUGCAAGCGUUAUCCGGAUUUACUGGGUGUAAAGGGAGCGCAGGCGGCACGGCAAGCCUGAUGUGAAAGCCCGCGGCCCAACCGCGGGACUGCAUUGGGAACUACCGGGCUGGAGUGCCGGAGAGGUAGGCGGAAUUCCUAGUGUAGCGGUGAAAUGCGUAGAUGUUAGGAGGAACACCAGUGGCGAAGGCGGCCUGCUGGACGGUGACUGACGCUGAGGCUCGAAAGCGUGGGGAGCAAACAGG